rnacentral:rRNA from 1 species
GAUGAACGCUGGCGGCGUGCCUAAUACAUGCAAGUCGAGCGAACAGUCCAGGAGCUUGCUCCUCUGACUUCAUCGGCGGACGGGACCGUAACACGUGGAUAACCUACCUAUAAGACUGGGAUAACUUUGGGAAACCGUGGCUAAUACCGGAUAAUUUAUUGCACCUCAUGGUUCCCUCGUUGAAGUAGGUUUUUCUGUCACUUAAAGAUGGAUACGCACCCCAUUCGUUAGUUGGUAAGCUAACGGCUUACCAAGGCUGCGAUGCGUAGCCGACCUGAGAGGGAGAUUGGCCACAUGGUCUGAGAGGAUGGUCCGAGACUCCUACGGUGGGCAGCAGUAGGGAAUCUUCCGCAAUGGACGAGAGCGUAACGGAGCAACGUCGGGGGAAGGAUGAUGCACUACGGAUCGGAAAACUCUGAAAGUAUUGAAGAUCAAAUGUGUAAGUAACUAUGCACGUCUUGACGGUACCUAAUCAGAAAGCCACGGCUAACUACGUG